rnacentral:lncRNA from 1 species
CGCAAGAUCACGCUCAGCCUCGAGGUCAGUUACCCUCUUAUCUCGAGCUUCUACUGCCUCCUGGAGCUCGACCACCCUCCGGGAAUCAUCCAUUCCCCUGAGCAAGCCACCUCGAGCUAUACUCAAAGCCUGCAAGCACAUUUAUCAUUAGCUAUAACCUCGAUAUAAAAAGACCAUAAAUCUUAUAAUCGCAGUUCACAUGGAAUAUAAAUGACUCAAGGUCCUUGCCGGCCUCUUCAUACCCGAGCCUUUGUUGGUAUUUGUCGACGAUGCCCGACAUCAAGUAUGAUUGCCCUGUAUUCUCGACUUUUUUAGUGCCUGAGGGAACAUUAUCCUCGUCUAGAUCCACUACCGGAUGCUCCCGAGGAGGCGGAAGAGAGCGAGAUGGAAUAGAUCGAGGAGUGUUUCUUCCAGGCGACGUGCUUCGGCAUCUCGAGGACUCUCCUGCCCCGUUUCUUUUCUAUUGCUCGGGCCCAGAAGCUCGAGGCCUCUUUUUCCCCCUUUUUUGCCCAAGGGUUCGAAUCUGAGGAGCCCUCGACUUGGACUGCACGGCCUGUCGCAAAGCAGUUGGAUCAAAAGUCAUUGCUGCAAAAUAUCGACGACAUAUUAGAAACGAGCAUAUAAAUAAGCAAAAAAUUUAAGAAAAAAAUGUACAUGUCCUACCCUCGACGCCUUUAAUGUCUGCACGAUCGAGAACGUCAUCCCCGAGGAUGUCGUCCAUAUCAAACACCAGAGGCUCGAGAUUUUCUAACAUCUGCCUGUCCCUCUCUAGACUCUCAAAGUAUGCCUGACCCUCACAAAACCUCGACGUAUCUGGAAAUCCCCAUCGAGACUUGAAUGGAAGGUCGAUAUCUUGAGAAAUCACGUAGAACCAUUUCUCCUUCCACCCUUUUAAGGAGCUGG